AUUUAGUUUUGAACUUUGUGAAAUUUUUUGAGGGGGUUGGGGAACAGAAUUAUACUUUCGACAAAUUUGGUAGUACCUCAAAGACUGCCUGGACACUUCUGUUUUGAAUUUUGGCAUUGCAAUCAUAUUUUUAUAUCGAAUAUUGAAGUUACGGAUGUCCGUACGAUAUGUGAUUUUCCUAUGAAGAUUAGAAGGUUUUCUUUGUUACAAUUAUUUUAUGGAAAAAACAGAUAGCGUGAAGUAACCUUCUUUUCUCCAUGUUCAGCCAUUCAAUUUCUCGAAGCUUAUAUGGGAUCCUGUGUCGCCGACCAAUAUCAAAAAUUAACCUAAGGCACGAGUUUUGAACUUUUUGAAACUUAUUUUUGUAUUGAUUGGUUGAAUAUGGGCCAUAAAAUAGGCACGUGGUAAGAGUUUAUUUACAAAUUUUUCAAAUCUCAGAUCUACAUCCAUCAAAACACCAAGAUUUUUUGCUUCACUAACAAUAUCUAGUGGCUCAUUUCGAAUGCAGAUAUUCGCAGAGUAGUUCACUAUGGAACGGUGAAAUCUUGAACCAAAGAUCAUUACAUUUUAAUUACUAGGGUUUAUAAAUAAACAGUGGUCCGUUGCCAAUUCAACAAAUCUAUUUAUAUCUGCAUUGAUGUCACAAACAUUGUCUGCCAUUUUCGCCGGAAAGCUGUAGUAUAUUCAAGUAUCAUCAGCAUAUAAAUGCACCUGACAAGUGUGAAGAGCCUGUAGUAAGUUGGAUAUAUAUAUAGAGAACAAUAAUGGGCCGAGUAUGGAUCCUUGAGGUCAAAGCAUUCGUUGCUAUGAAUGUGCAUCUCGGCUGGGACCAGGAGAAUCAGACCCUUGCCUGACUGGAGAGGGAUAUCAACUACGAAGGGUUCACUGUAUUGGACCUUCUGUAUGUGCAGCCUACCUUUAUCAGAGUAUCAUACCUGGAGCUCCAAGUAUUAAUCACGUUACACGUGGUUGUCAGUCCAUCAGGUAUGGUUCGACCUGCGAAGAUAUAUUCAAUGAAUUGAAGUCGAAAGGUGAAAUAUUACCAGGGCAGCAUACUUGCAGCACUUGCAGUUCUGAUCUAUGCAAUACAUCCAGUAGAUUGAACUACUUGUCGACCAUGGUCUUGAUAUCGUUUUCUUUCGUCAUCAGGGUAGGUCUCAGCUGAAUUUGAAAUGUUUUUACUUAAAUUGAUAAUGUAGGUAAUUGUUUUGAGAGAGAAGGAACAAUAAAAAAAUAGAUUUGAAUAUA